rnacentral:rRNA from 1 species
AAAAAAGGUAAGCUACUAAGAGCGAAUGGUGGAUGCCUUGACUGGUAAAGGCGAUGAAGGACGUACUAGACUGCGAUAAGCUACGGGGAGCUGUCAAGAAGCUUUGAUCCGUAGAUUUCCGAAUGGGGCAACCCAAUGUAUAGAGAUAUACAUUACCUAUAUAGGAGCGAACGAGGGGAAUUGAAACAUCUUAGUACCCUCAGGAAAAGAAAUCAAUAGAGAUUGCGUCAGUAGCGGCGAGCGAAAGCGCAAGAGGGCAAACCCAGUGCUUGCACUGGGGGUUGUAGGACUGCAAUGUGCAAGAGGUGAGUUUAGCAGAACAUUCUGGAAAGUAUAGCCAUAGAGGGUGAUAGUCCCGUAUGCGAAAAACAAACCUUAGCUAGCAGUAUCCUGAGUAGGGCGGGACACGAGAAAUCCUGUCUGAAGCUGGGUCGACCACGAUCCAACCCUAAAUACUAAUACCAGAUCGAUAGUGCACAAGUACCGUGAGGGAAAGGUGAAAAGAACUGAGGUGAUCAGAGUGAAAUAGAACCUGAAACCAUUUGCUUACAAUCAUUCAGAGCCCUAUGUAGCAAUACAGGGUGAUGGACUGCCUUUUGCAUAAUGAGCCUGCGAGUUGUGGUGUCUGGCAAGGUUAAGCAAACGCGAAGCCGUAGCGAAAGCGAGUCUGAAUAGGGCGCUUAGUCAGAUGCUGCAGACCCGAAACGAAGUGAUCUAUCCAUGAGCAAGUUGAAGCUAGUGUAAGAACUAGUGGAGGACUGAACCCAUAGGCGUUGAAAAGCCCCGGGAUGACUUGUGGAUAGGGGUGAAAGGCCAAUCAAACUUCGUGAUAGCUGGUUCUCUCCGAAAUAUAUUUAGGUAUAGCGUUGUGUCGUAAUAUAAGGGGGUAGAGCACUGAAUGGGCUAGGGCAUACACCAAUGUACCAAACCCUAUCAAACUCCGAAUACCUUAUAUGUAAUCACAGCAGUCAGGCGGCGAGUGAUAAAAUCCGUCGUCAAGAGGGAAACAACCCAGACUACCAGCUAAGGUCCCUAAAUCUUACUUAAGUGGAAAACGAUGUGAAGUUACUUAAACAACCAGGAGGUUGGCUUAGAAGCAGCCAUCCUUUAAAGAAAGCGUAAUAGCUCACUGGUCUAGUGAUUUUGCGCGGAAAAUAUAACGGGGCUAAAGUAAGUACCGAAGCUGUAGACUUGCGCACAACUUAGAUUAUUUAAGUUUAGAAUAUGAGAAACUAAGUUAUAUGUUUAGUUAUAUUUUUACUGAUUUUUAUAGAGUAAAGAUAGAAAUAAAACUUAGUAAAAUCAGUAAAAAUAUUCUUAGACUAAAGUUAAGUAGUUUAAGUUGUGUGCAAGUGGUAGGAGAGCGUUCUAUUUGCGUCGAAGGUAUACCGGUAAGGAGUGCU